rnacentral:rRNA from 1 species
GAUGAACGCUGGCGGCGUGCCUAACACAUGCAAGUCGAGCGCGAUUAAGUGGAGUGGCNACUUCGGUCNAAGUGAAACUUAUGAAAGCGGCGGACGGGUGAGUAACGCGUGGGCAACCUGCCCCAUACAGAGGGAUAGCCACUGGAAACGGUGAUUAAUACCUCAUGAGUCAGUAAGGUCGCAUGAUCUAGCUGACAAAGAUUUAUCGGUAUGGGAUGGGCCCGCGUNUGAUUAGCUAGUUGGUGAGGUAACGGCUCACCAAGGCGACGAUCAGUAGCCGACCUGAGAGGGUGAUCGGCCACACUGGAACUGAGACACGGUCCAGACUCCUACGGGAGGCAGCAGUGGGGAAUAUUGCACAAUGGGCGCAAGCCUGAUGCAGCAACGCCGCGUGAGUGAAGAAGGCCUUCGGGUCGUAAAACUCUGUCCUAUGGGAAGAAACAAAUGACGGUACCAUGGGAGGAAGCCCCGGCUAACUACGUGCCA